rnacentral:rRNA from 1 species
CGCUGUCUCCACCCGAGACUCAGUGAAAUUGAAAUCGCAGUGAAGAUGCUGUGUUCCCGCGGCUAGACGGAAAGACCGCGUGAACCUUUACUACCGCUUGGCACUGAACAUUGAGCCUACAUGUGUAGGAUAGGUGGGAGGCUUUGAAGUGGUUACGCCAGUAAUCAUGGAGCCAUCCUUGAAAUACCACCCUUGUAUGUUUGAUGUUCUAACGUUGGCCCCUGAAUCGGGGUUGCGGACAGUGCCUGGUGGGUAGUUUGACUGGGGCGGUCUCCUCCCAAAGAGUAACGGAGGAGCACGAAGGUUGGCUAAGAUCGGUCGGACAUCGUACGGGUUGUGUAUUGGUAGAAGCCAGCUGUACUGCGCGACAGACACGUCGCGCUGGGACGCAA